AAUCAACGCUGGCGGCGUGCCUAACACAUGCAAGUCGAACGCGAAAGUGGAGCAAUCCAUGAGUAGAGUGGCAAACGGGUGAGUAACACGUGGGUGACCUGCCUUCGAGUGGGGGAUAACGUCCCGAAAGGGACGCUAAUACCGCAUAACAUCCUGUCUUUUAAGAGAUGGACAUCAAAGCCGGGACCGCAAGGCCUGGCGCUUGAAGAGGGGCCCGCGCCUGAUUAGCUAGUUGGUGGGGUAAUGGCUCACCAAGGCAACGAUCAGUAUCCGGCCUGAGAGGGCGGACGGACACACUGGGACUGAGACACGGCCCAGACUCCUACGGGAGGCUG
rnacentral:rRNA from 1 species